CAGUCGCCGCGGGAAUACGAAGGGGGCUAGCGUUGCUCGGAAUGACUGGGCGUAAAGGGCGCGUAGGCGGCGGCCAAAGUCAGGCGUGAAAUUCCCGGGCUCAACCUGGGGGCUGCGUUUGAUACUUGGUUGCUUGAGUGGGGAAGAGGGUCGUGGAAUUCCCAGUGUAGAGGUGAAAUUCGUAGAUAUUGGGAAGAACACCGGUGGCGAAGGCGGCGACCUGGUCCUUUACUGACGCUGAGGCGCGAAAGCGUGGGGAGCAAACAGGAUUAGAUACCCCCGUAGUCCCUGUCUCUUAUAC
rnacentral:rRNA from 1 species